rfam:Trichophyton equinum CBS 127.97 supercont1.2 genomic scaffold, whole genome shotgun sequence.
UACAUGGUUUUCAUAUGAUGAACACCAUACGAACCAAGUACUUUUAGGAAGAGCCGGAAGAGGUAUGGCAACCGUUACCACAUGGAGCGGGUUAAUUUAUUAUUUGUGUCGUCGAUGCUUAUAACGGUUCUGCUGAAGAAAGCUGUGUA